GAAACUUCAAAAAAAUUCCAUAAAGCCCAUAUAUGUUGUCUCUUCAAUGCUCUUGUUAGUUUGUGGCUAUUAUUUUCCUUAUGCCCAAAUAAAAAGAACUUAAGAAAAUUUUGAGGACAGGAUAUUUCAAAUCACUAAGUUAGUAACAAAUGGAUGGCUGAAAAUUGAAAUCUACCCAAAAAGAAACUCACAACAAGCAUUUCAUCUCCUCUACCACACACAUAAAGUUAAGCUUUGAGGAAAAAUA
rnacentral:lncRNA from 1 species